GACGAACGCUGGCGGCGUGCUUAACACAUGCAAGUCGAACGGAGUCGCGAACGGGUGAGUAACACGUGGGUGUCCUUCCCUGCACUUCGUGAUAACCCUGGGAAACUGGGUCUAAUACCGGAUAGUGUGGGAUGGGCGCGGGGCCUAUCACCUUGUUGGGGGGGUAAUGGCCAACCAAGGCGGCGACGGGUACCCGGCCUGAGAGGGUGGACGUGCACAAUGGGACUGAGACAGGGCCCAGACUGCUACGGGGGGCAGCAGUGGGGAAUAUGGCACAAUGGGCGGAAGCCUGAUGCAGCGACGCUGGGUGGGGGAUGACGGCCUUCGGGUUGGAAACUCCUGUCACCAUCGACGCGGUAGAUGGAGAAGAAGCACCGGCUAACUACGUGCCAGCAGCCGCGGUAAUUC
rnacentral:rRNA from 1 species